UGUCAACAUAUAUUAUUUACGGUUCAAACGAGCCAAUCUUGACGAAACUUGUUUAUAUAAGUGAUAUGAAACGAUUCAGCACAAACUUAUUAUCCGCCUUGACAUUUACAUUACGAAAAAUUAAAGAUAAAGAAAAAGAAGUGAACUCUUCCUUGUCGCUCUGAAACUCCUUUAAAUAUGUUGAAAAUGCUGAUCAUUUAGUUGGGAAAUAUACUAUCUUCACCAAAUCUGAACAGUCUGUUAAAAAAACUACUUAUUGGUUGUUUGCAUCAACCAUACACUUCAUUGCCCAGAGUAAAGCUUGGACUUUAGUAUGGAAAGGAGAAAGAUUUCUACAUAAAUUAGCAGCUCUCUUUUCUUAAUAAGACUUUGAGUUUUUUUUUUUUUAAUUAGAAAGUUUGUGUCUUUGUGAACAUAUGACAUCUCUUUGUGACAUGUGAUUUCUCUCGUUUU
rnacentral:sRNA from 1 species